CCUCCCCUCCCCCCCGGACCUGGUUUACGACACUGGGUGGUUUUACUUUUACAUCACCUUCCUACACCUAGUGCUCGGCCGGAACCUUGUUGCCAGGGGAGACGGGCGCUUUACGGCAGGACGUUUGAACGGCGGCGGGGGAAAAGUUGCUGCCGCAGGUACCGGGUGCGGCGGACGAGGGGCUGGCGGGGCGGCGGCGGCGCCGUCCGGGGACCCCCGACCCUCCGAGGGUGUCCCGUCCCCCCCACCCCGUUCCGGCCCUCCGCCGGCAGCAGGGGGGGGAUCCCCGCCGGGCGGGGCGGGGCGGGGCGGGCCGAGGGGGCGGGAGCCCGGCGGGGCGGAGAGGGCGGGGGGCGCCGGCCCCCAGGGCGGUGGAGGGAGAUCCCCGCUAUCGGUGCGGCCCCAGGAGGAGUUCCGCCCCGCGUCGCCGCCCGGAGGGACCGGCCCGCUCCCCCGCCCCGCUGCCAGGUGCCUUCCGUCCCGCGGCCUGCGGAGCGCCAGCAGCCGCCCCAGGUCUAACCAAGAAACGAACAGCUGGACGAGAACGACGCUGUUCUCACCGCGUGCGAAAUCUGUCAUUCUCGGGCUUUCCUUAAUCACACUUCCCGCUUUUACGGAGAGGAGGAGAGGUACAAAUAAAUCAUCUGAUAUCUCUCAAUACAUUCAUAAAUUUAGGUGUAGUGUUUUUACAUAUGUAUCUUUACCCAGUGUGUGUUGGAUGCUGACUUCAACAGUUUAUUGAGGAUCUACCUGAGAGUUGUUAAAGAAUGGUAACAAAUCAAACAGGACAAAGUCUUUGAUGGACGAACAGAAGUCAUUUUAAAGCAUUAGAUCUGGUGCUAGCUGGGAGCACUGAACCCUGAAUACAAGGGGAGCUAAGGACCACAACAUGAAGCCAACUGCAAGAUAGAAAUGAAACUUGUCAGCAAUAUUUUGAGUGAGUGAAUUGCCAAGUUUAAGGCAGAAUCUUGUUUUUGUCUGGCUUUAAGAGUUCAACAUCUUUGCUUGUCAAGUUUUUGUAGAGAAGAUAACCUGUGAAACUGCUUGCAAAUGAGGGCUUAAGGUGUUUUGGAAUUCUUGGGCAUUUUUAUGAUUCUGUGGAUGAAUUUAACAAAAAUAUCAUGUACAGGUUUCAUGCAAAGUUUUCAGUUCCUUAAAAUUCGUCAUGUUUUAGAAGGUAGUUGCAAAAAUACAAAUAAUAACAUGUCUGUAAAUAUAUUUGUGGAUUUGUAACAAUAUUCCCAUGCAUGCAUGCACAAAAUUCCAGGCCCCGCUUUAAGUGACUUUCAAGUAGCUUUUUUUUUAGUUGAGUUUUGUCACUUUUCACCUCUGGAUAAGAAUUCUUGUUUCUUCGUUGUGAGCGAUUUAUGUCCCCUAACAGAAUGAGGAGAGAAACAGUCUCCUGGUGUUUCUUAUUGCUCUUUUUCCAAUAGUCAUAGUGUCUGUUUGAGCAUUAGACUCCUGAGAUUUCCAAGAAGCUGGGAGAAACUGGUGACAACUCUUGCUGCCCAUUAGUUUCUGAAGAGCAGAACUGAAACUGGCAGGGGGACUGCUAGCUUUACACUGCUAUAGUUUUGAUAAAUGAGAAGAGAAAACCAAAGCAAUCUUUGUAAAUGUUAUCGUUGAUACCAAGGAGGUCUAGAAACUAAAAAAGCGGAGGAUAGUGUUUUGCAUCAGGUUAUUGAUUACCCCAAUCACUAUUCAUUGUGGAAAGCACCUCAUUUACCACUUGUAAAUACAUAUGUGGAUGGGCUAGUUUUUUGGGUUUUGUUUUUUAAAUUUUUAUAUAUUUAAUCCAAGCAAUUACGCGCUUCAUGUCUUUGUAUACAACAUUGCUGUUAUUUACUGUGCUAAAAAGCAUCAUGAUUAAGGAUGCAGCCACUGUCAGUGUGUUUUGACCAAAUACAUUCUUCAAAUCCUGGAUGCAAACCCACUAGUUAAAAUUCCUGCUAUAUUUGUAUUGUUCUGCAAUAUAUGAGCGCAUUGUAAAUGUGAUUUAAAUUGGUUUGUGCUGCAAAAAUGAGAAGUUCUGGUUUUCUUUAUGGUGCACAGCUUUCAAUCUGACUUUUCAGCCACAGAUGCAGGAAUUAAUUGAUGUACUAAUUUGCAAAAUCUCAGCAAAUUUUCUGCAUCCUCCUAAAUGUGGCAGGCUUGAGAAUAUGUUUCUUUAAAGGAGGAAUUCUAAGAAUGGUCAUCCAUAACAAUUAGUUUGUCUCUAGUGACAGAAUUUGUGUGGGAAUUUAGGCAAACUAAAUAGGCGUAAUGUAGUUGAAAUGUCAGGUUGCGUAGCUGCUGUACUUCACCUUUUUUGAAAUAAUUUAUUUCUCUUGUCUGAAGACAGGAAUAUAAAAUACUUCCAAUAGUCACACUGGAGUAUGGAUGCUUGAAAACCAGCCAAUGAUUAUUACAGACAGUUUCUGCUGUUUUGAAAAAUAGUCAUGUAUGCUGUGUUAUGGUUUAUGAUCUGUUGAGUAGGUAUUAUUAAAUAAAAGCAAUCAGUCCUCUGU